rnacentral:rRNA from 1 species
UAAUACGUAGGGUGCGAGCGUUAAUCGGAAUUACUGGGCGUAAAGCGUGCGCAGGCGGUUCUCCAAGUCCGUUGUGAAAGCCCCGGGCUCAACCUGGGAAUGGCAGUGGAAACUAGGGGACUGGAAUCUGGCAGAGGGGGGUGGAAUGCCGCGUGUAGCAGUGAAAUGCGUAGAGAUGCGGCGGAACACCGAUGGCGAAGGCAGCCCCCUGGGCUGAGAUUGACGCUCAGGCACGAAAGCGUGGGGAGCAAACAGGAUUAGAUACCCCGGUAGUCCUGGCCCUAAACGAUGAAUGCUUGGUGUGGCGGGUAUCGAUCCCUGCCGUGCCGAAGCUAACGCAUUAAGCAUUCCGCCUGGGGAGUACGGUCGCAAGGCUG